GGAGGUGCUGCGAGGCGAGCGAUCGGACCAGAAGGAGGCCGGCGGCUGCAGGCGGCCCCGGUGCUGAGGGGAGCUUAUCUGCGGUGCAGCUACUACCUUUUCCCUUCUAUUGGGAAUCUCCACUGUUCUGCGGGCUGUCAGAGAAGACACUACUAACUAAAUAUAAGCACUUCAAGGGUCUGAAGAGUCCUGGAAGCUGAUAGGUUGUGAGGAGGUACUUGUCCUGCCUGCAGAACACUUUUCUCUACUGAUAAUGCAAUUCAAUGGAGGAAAGUAAUGUUUUGAUAAGCAUGCGUGAAGAUCAUUCCUUUCAUGUUCG